rnacentral:rRNA from 1 species
GGGGUGCUAGCUUGCUAGAACCUACACACAGGUGCUGCACGGCUGUCGUCAGCUCGUGUCGUGAGAUGUUGGGUUAAGUCCCGCAACGAGCGCAACCCUCGUCCUUAGUUGCUAACAGUUCGGCUGAGCACUCUAGGGAGACUGCCUUCGCAAGGAGGAGGAAGGUGAGGACGACGUCAAGUCGUCAUGGCCCUUACGGCCAGGGCUACACACGUGCUACAAUGGGGCGUACAGAGAGCUGCGAUACCGCGAGGUGGAGCCAAUCUCUUAAAGCGUCUCUCAGUUCGGAUUGUUCUCUGCAACUCGAGAACAUGAAGCUGGAGUCACUAGUAAUCGCAGAUCAGUUAUGCUGCGGUGAAUACGUUCCCGGGUCUU